rnacentral:rRNA from 1 species
GCUUGCGACUAUAUAACUUUGAAAGCAACGGUUCUCGUCGGAUCACCGAUGUUAAGCAACGUCGCGCCUAGUGAGUGCUUAGAUAGGUGACUGCUUGGGAAUCGUAGGUGCUGUAAGCG